CAUACCUUUAAGUGGAACAAUACCCUUUUCAAUGAGAUGGGCAUAGUGAAGGUAGCACAUUAAUGCACAAGCACUCUCUGUAUGGAAGAGGACUACUGGAAAGCCAAGUUCAUGGGCUGCAUCAAGAGUGAAGGUCAUGCCAAAAUCAGAAAUUAUGCAAGUAACAGGAGGGGAAUUUGAUGAAGAAUUGAGUUCUGAAAGAAGGCUUCAGAAGGGUGCUAAAAAGUUAUUUCUAAUGGAACCACAUAGGGCUGGUAUGUCUUGGGUGACAUUGGCAUCAGUAGGAGGAAGGCCAUCGGGAAUCGAUUUGAACCUAAACGAGGGCAGGCCAUCGAGAGAGUUGGGACCUCGGGAUCUAAGCAAGCGCUCAUGGUUGUACUCUGUGUUGACAAAGGUUAUAUGAAAGCCUCUGUAGUGAAGGAUUUUAGCUAAUUUUAGCAUCGGGUUUAUGUGACCUUGAGCAGGGUAUGGUAUACAAACUGCAUGUGGCUUCUCUGAGGCGUUGGAACCCAUUCUCUCUCUCUCUUGAUUACAUAGGGGAUGAUUUGGGAAAGAGGAUGUGUACAGGGUUUUAUAGGGAAACGGAAUGUCUUACCAGUUUUAAAUUGGUAGAUAUCUGGCUUAUAAUUAUUCCAAUUUCAGUGUCCUAAAAUGACAUCCAGUAAAAGUUAACACAAAAUAUAUAGGAAGCCAGGAAGGUCUAUAACAAUUUACAUCCAUAUGAGGUGAGUCUACACUCCUGAGUCUGAAUCGCUGAAGUGUCUAACCUUUUUCAUUUUUAUUUUGCUAGAUGGGGAAUUCGUAUUCAGGAUUAAAUACCACUAAACAGUAAUAACAAGCAUAGAAAAAUUCCUUGCCUGCUCAAUGACACACAAUGAAGUAAAAGAAAGAUUGUAUGGUGUUCGUCCUCCAUCAUAAAUACAAGAACCAAACCCUUAAACUCCCUCCCCAAUCUCCUCCACAAUUUCCCUCUGCAUUUAUUCCUCAAACACUUUCCCAUCUCCCACCACUUACAUCUCCCGUCUAUACUCCUCAACAACUCUAUCGGCUAUUCCUCCUACCGUUUAGUGUAAAGAAUGUCAGCAACUUUCUUAUCAAGCUAGCAACAUUUUCCAUGUGUUCUAAUCUGCACUAACUUAUAAAUGUGGUAGAGUACAGAGUCUGCACCCGAAGAUAGUUAGAAUACAUAGUCUGCACCCGAAGAUAGUUAGAUAGAGUCUUGAGCUGGAAUUCUUCAGCUGAUCACAAUCAGUUGGCACAGAAAUUUACUAUAACAUCAGCAUCUUCCUAUAUGAACCCAAAGGAAACAAUCACACACUAAAACGUGGCCAUUUUGUUUAAUUUCUAUUCCAAUGGAACCCAUUUAUCAAUACCCAUAUAUCAAUUGAACCCAUUUAUCAAAACUCAUAUAUCAAUUGAACCUACAUAUCAAUUCAUAAUCUUAUAUCCUCUACUCUAGGUGACUGAAAAUAAAAAACAAUACUAAAAAAGACAGUAAAAAGCUACAUAAAGAAAGUGAAAACUUUUGAACCUGAAGAGGAGUGGAGAAGACGAGUCCAGCCUCACUCAUUCUUUGCUUGAGUUGAAGUACGUCAGCCCAUUGGACGUGUUCCUCGAUUUGGAGAAGGCCAAAGCUCCCGGGGGCGGCGGCCGGUUACUCGGCUAAGCCGAGUCGGCUUCUCCUCGCCGUCUCCGACCACAACAACCGAAUCGCAUCGCAACUCUCCUCCAAAUCCAAUUUCCUCUUCUAC
rnacentral:lncRNA from 1 species